UACAGAGGGGGCAAGCGUUGUUCGGAAUUACUGGGCGUAAAGGGCGCGUAGGCGGCCUGUUAAGUCGAACGUGAAAUCCCCGGGCUCAACCCGGGAACUGCGUCCGAUACUGGCAGGCUUGAAUCCGGGAGAGGGAUGUGGAAUUCCAGGUGUAGCGGUGAAAUGCGUAGAGAUCCGGAGGAACACCAGUGGCGAAGGCGACACGCUGGGCCAUACCUGACGCUAAAGCGCGACAGCAUGGGGAGCAAACAGG
rnacentral:rRNA from 1 species